rnacentral:rRNA from 1 species
UACGUAGGGGGCAAGCGUUAUCCGGAUUCACUGGGCGUAAAGGGAGCGCAGGCGGCAUGGCAAGUCUGAUGUGAAAACCCGGGGCCCAACCCCGGGAGUGCAUUGGAAACUGCCAGGCUGGAGUGUCGGAGGGGUAAGCGGAAUUCCUAGUGUAGCGGUGAAAUGCGUAGAUAUUAGGAGGAACAUCAGUGGCGAAGGCGACUUUCUGGACUGUAACUGACGCUGAGGCACGAAAGUGUGGGGAGCAAACAGG